rnacentral:lncRNA from 1 species
UUAAAAUUAUUAAAAUGCAACACUUAAAUUAAAAUAUUGAAAAAAUAAUGAAACUAGAAUAAGAAGUAAUAAUACUUAAAAUGCCGUGCAACAAUUUUCUAAAAGCAAAGAAAUAAGUGAAGUUUAUAAGCAAUGUUCUCAAAUUAAAGCACUGUUUCCAAAAAAAGAGAAAUAAAUCAAUGUGCUUGAUAAAACCUUUCCCGAGGCCGUGAUCCAUACUGC